UUAGCCUGAGAAAUAGCUACCACUUCUACGGAGGGCAGCAGGCGCGCAAAUUGCCCAAUGUCAAAAAAAAACGAUGAGGCAGCGAAAAGAAAUAGAGCCGACAGUGCAUUUUGUAUUGUCGUUUUCAAUGGGGGAUAUUUAAACCCAUCCAAAAUCGAGUAACAAUUGGAGGACAAGUCUGGUACCAGCACCCGCGGUAAUUCCGGCUCCAAAAGCGUAUAUUAAUGCUGUUGCUGUUAAAGGGUUCGA
rnacentral:rRNA from 1 species